rnacentral:rRNA from 1 species
AUAGGCCCUCCUUCGGGCCGCUUCCAAGGUGCUGCAUGGUUGUCGUCAGCUCGUGCCGUGAGGUGUUAGGUUAAGUCCUGCAACGAGCGCAACCCCUGUCACUAGUUGCUACCAUUCAGUUGAGGACUCUAGUGAGACUGCCUACGCAAGUAGAGAGGAAGGUGGGGAUGACGUCAAAUCAUCACGGCCCUUACGUCUUGGGCCACACACGUAAUACAAUGGCCGGUACAGAGGGCAGCUACACAGCGAUGUGAUGCGAAUCUCGAAAGCCGGUCUCAGUUCGGAUUGGAGUCUGCAACUCGACUCUAUGAAGCUGGAAUCGCUAGUAAUCGCGCAUCAGCCAUGGCGCGGUGAAUACGUUCCCGGGCCUUGUACACACCGCCCGUCAAGCCAUGGAAGUCUGGGGUACCUGAAGUCGGUGACCGUAAAAGGAGCUGCCUAGGGUAAAACAGGUAACUAGGGCUAAGUCGUAACAAGGUAGCCGUAA